rnacentral:sRNA from 1 species
AAUAGAGGAACCUCGACUAAAACCUGCCACGUCGUUAUGUCUUGCGUCGAGGUCAGCACAUCCUGUGCA